rnacentral:rRNA from 1 species
GAUGAACGCUGGCGGCGUGCCUAAUACAUGCAAGUCGAGCGAACAGACGAGGAGCUUGCUCCUCUGACGUUAGCGGCGGACGGGUGAGUAACACGUGGAUAACCUACCUAUAAGACUGGGAUAACUUCGGGAAACCGGAGCUAAUACCGGAUAAUAUAUUGAACCGCAUGGUUCAAUAGUUAAAGACGGUUUUGCUGUCACUUAUAGAUGGAUCCGCGCCGCAUUAGCUAGUUGGUAAGGUAACGGCUUACCAAGGCAACGAUGCGUAGCCGACCUGAGAGGGUGAUAGGCCACAAUGGAACUGAGACACGGUCCAGACUCCUACGGGAGGCAGCAGUAGGGAAUCUUACGCAAUGGGCGAAAGCCUGACGGAGCAACGCCGCGUGAGUGAUGAAGGUCUUCGGAUCGUAAAACUCUGUUAUUAGGGAAGAACAAAUGUGUAAGUAACUAUGCACGUCUUGACGGUACCUAAUCAGAAAGCCACGGCUAACUACGUG